rnacentral:rRNA from 1 species
UAUUGGUCAAUGGCCGGAAGGCUGAACCAGCCAAGCCGCGUGAGGGAGGAAGGCGCAGAGCGUCGCAGACCUCUUUUGCCGGGGAGCAGAGGUCCGGACGUGUCCGGGCCGGGAGAGUACCCGGAGAAAAAGCAUCGGCUAACUCCGUGCCAGCAGCCGCGGUAAUACGGAGGAUGCGAGCGUUAUCCGGAUUUAUUGGGUUUAAAGGGUGCGUAGGCGGGCAUUUAAGCCGGCGGUCAAAUGUCGGGGCUUAACCCCGGCCUGCCGUCGGAACUGGGUGCCUUGAGUGGGCGAGAAGUAUGCGGAAUGCGUGGUGUAGCGGUGAAAUGCAUAGAUAUCACGCAGAACCCCGAUUGCGAAGGCAGCAUACCGGCGCCCUACUGACGCUGAGGCACGAAAGUGCGGGUAUCG